rnacentral:ncRNA from 2 species
GGCGCAUCCAAGGGGAGCCCCGCCGAAGAGGGGUUGAGAGGCCGCUGGCGCUUCAUCCGAAAGCGCGGCGCGGCGACCCUUCGAACCUGAUCCAGGUCACGCUGGCGAAGGGAUGGAAGGCAUUUCCGGC